UACGAAGGGGGAGCGAGCGUUGUUCGGAUUUACUGGGCGUAAAGGGCGCGCAGGCGGUUCUGUUUGUCGAGUGUGAAAGCCCCGGGCUCAACCUGGGAACUGCGCUCGAAACGGCGGAACUAGAGUUCGGGAGAGGAGAGUGGAAUUCCCAGUGUAGAGGUGAAAUUCGUAGAUAUUGGGAAGAACACCGGUGGCGAAGGCGGCUCUCUGGACCGAUACUGACGCUGAGGCGCGAAAGCGUGGGGAGCAAACAGG
rnacentral:rRNA from 1 species